CCCGCCAGAACCGGAACCGCUAGAACCGGAACCGCAUGGUACCUGGAACCGUCACGGGCCGGUUCCACCUUCAUAACCACCAGAACCGGAGCCGCCAGAACCUCCAGACCCGGAACCGCCAGAACCGAAACGCCAGACCCAAAUAGAUCCAGAACCGGAACCGGAACCGGAUACAGCCUUAACUAGCACCAAAUAUUCGUUGAGAAUUCGAUUUUCUCUUUAAUUUGAGGGUCAACUAUUUUGCUUUUUUUUUUUGUGUGGAGGAUCUCUU
rnacentral:lncRNA from 1 species